rnacentral:misc_RNA from 1 species
AAAAAAAAAAAGAACUUGCAGCGUUAUUUUGACCGAUCCAAAGGGUGCGAUUAUUUUAUGAACCACCCUGAUUUCUACAUGCUCACUUCCUGGCAACUCUGGUCUGAGGUUUCCAACAUGUCGUAAUGACCAUAUCCAUGAAAAAGCACAUUAAUGGGAUUUGCUUGAUCCUUCCCAUACUCUUCACCAUAAUUUGCUAUGUUUACCAAAUUACCUGAUGUCCUAUCUAUCAUGAAGACUGAAAUCAUAGUCUUCAAAACAUGUGAAGCCAUGAGCAACUCAGGUUCUCCACCCCAUACAUAAGGUUGUUGAAUUCUCUUGACAUAUGCAUCAAAAUCUCCUUCUAUAAACCAUUCAGUUUCUUCACGCCUCUUUAAAAGCUCAUCCACCACUCGAGCUCUUAGUUCAUCAGCGAGUUCUCUUUGGCGAUUUUCAUCAGGGGCUUCUUCCCCACUUCUCAAACAAGCACUGUGAGCUAUUGCUCUAAACAAGCAUCGCCCAUCAGCCAGCACUCCUGUGACCUUAAAAUCAGCAGAAUUGUCAUUUUUCACAUCAGAACUAUAAAUCCCACUUGGAUCAGUCUUCACAUCAGCAGCAACGCUCUCGGGAUUAACGUCGGCCCAAAAAUCAAUGGGCGCUAGACACGCACAAACGCCGAACAGUAGCCAAGCAGAGUCAGGCCGAUGGAGCCAGCGAGCAGGCCUCGCAUCCCAUGCGACGUUCCACGAUCCUUCUCCUCUGGGUUCAGCCAGCAGCCGCCGUGCACUACUCCUCCCGUUAAAUCCUGAUGGCUGGAUCGCAUGCCAUAUGGAGGCGACGCCACCACUGGAAGCGACGAGACGACAGGCGCUGGAGUGGUGGCGCUGCCGAGAGGAGAUGCAGGAAUCGCCGAAGUGUAUAGGAGUAUGCAGUCGGGUGUAGUGAGCUGAUGAAAAGCCGUAGAAGUGCGUGAGAGAGGUGAGGAUCCAAGGCUUUGGGCGUGCACAGAGUACACCGAGCAUAGCAGUGGUGGUUGAUGCUAUUUUGCGCCUGAGUUAAACUUAGCACGCACCCAUAGCUUCAAAAGGCUACAAGCUUUAUAUUAAGAGAGCUAUGCCGAUGAAAAUUUUGUAGGUGACAGUACUUUUUAU